rnacentral:rRNA from 1 species
UUUUUAAAGGAACUCGUUUAUUAAUCGACAUUNCUCGUUAAUUUUAACUUUAAUAAUUAGCUUAUAUACCGCCGUCAAAACUAUUUUACAAAAAAUAUUUUCUUACACACUAAUUAAUGUCAGGUCAAGGUAUAGCCUAUAUUCAAGUCUAAAUAAGUUACUAUAAAAAAAAUUUAUAGAAAUAAAUUAAUACUUACAUAAAAAAGGAUUUAAAAACAAUAUUUUAAUACUAAUUUAAUAUGAAAAUGUUUUAAC